ACACCGCCUGUUAUCUUUUUAAUGCAUCUACUCCUCAAGUUUGCUAGAUUAUCAUCUCUCCCUUCUUCCCUAUGACAGUUCCAGAUCUCUAGCAUCUUUUGUCGCUACCGCUAACACCAUUUUAGGCAGUCGUCCUUCUAUGUAGGUACUUCCGUUAAGCUUUAGAGCUUCCUUCGCUACUGCAUGCGCCGUUUCGUUCCCUUUUCUUCCUAUCUGUCUAAAUUUGCAUUUGUUGAAUUUGUUGCUAAAAGUUUUGAUAUUUAUAGUGUAUAGAGUUAACACUGAUUUAUCAUUUUCCUUUCUCUGUAAUUUUUUAAUGAUGCUGAGGGCGUCUCCUUCCACCACAACCCUUCGGUAACCCAGAUCCAAACCCAUUCUUACUGCUUGUAGGCAAGCCAAAGCCUCUACUGCAAAUGUCGUAGGGAUUCGAUUAUUGACUUUCGAUCUACAGUGGCCUCCACCGCUCUUCUACCACCCUUUGACCUGGAUCUUGUUUCUCCUCAACCACAUUGCCCAGAUGCUGCAAAAAAAAAAUAGUCUUAUUCUGUAUUCUUGUCGUAUUCACAAUCUCUGAAAGCGUGUUCUGUCGAUUUUGUCUCUACUUCCGCUUAUAGUGUAGACUGCCCAUAAUUGGAAUGUAUCCAUUGUACACAUGCCAGUUUGUAAUAUUUAUUUUUCCUGGAAAGUUUGUUUGCCAUAGUUCUUUUAUAGAAGAGUUUAUCAAUGUUUGCAUAAUUAUUUGUAUCAUUAUCAAGGUUAGGUUCCUUUUUUGUCAACCAUAUUUACCCGCUUCUUACAGUAUAUUCUCUUGAUGGUUCACCACUCUAAAUUCUAGAGUCAUCUUGUUUGUAAAAGGAAUUCUGAAAAUUGCAGUAGCCUUCUCACUUAUGAAUAAACUGGAACCCAAGCAUCUUGCCAGAUUGAUAUUUGGUCCCCCCUUCCCACCCUCCAAGCCAUCCCCUCCCUCAGUAGUUUCUUCGUUGCCAAUAUGCUCCUCCAGGUAUAUGAAGGGUAAUUUCUUAACUCUGCCUGCAAAAAUUCACUGUUGGGAAAAUAUUUAGCCUUUAAAUUGUGACGCCCCCUUUUGAAGUCACGAUCUCAACCUAUUAUUUCUGAAGUUUUACAAAUAAGGGUCACACGACCAUGUGGAAGGAAUGAGGCUGUAUGGGGCUGAAACACACAACUGUGUAGCCCAACUGUGUGCAGGAAGCCAAACCGUGUAAUACAGGUCACACGGCUAUGUCACCAGAUCGUGUAACAAACUGUGGUUGUGUGUGUACCAAACUGUAAAACUUGCAAACAUUCACACGGCUGUGUGGAGGUAGGUGCUUGGGUUGUCAUCUACAAUCACGUUGAAAGGAAAUUGUCCUAAAUUUGAAAAAAAAAAUAAAGAAAAAUAAUUUUAAUUGUAUUAUUUCUCAAAUUAUUAUGCUUCUAUCUCAUGCUAAUUAAGAAUUUUUUGUAGUGAAGUAGAAGGAAAAGAAGUUUGAUGCUUUAUGCUCGAUUGAAAUUGGGGAUUUUGGAAACCUAAUGACUAUCAAAAGCAUGAUGAAGUUUGAAAAUAGUCUCUCUUUUUUCUAAUAUCUCUUAUACAUUACAUAUAAUUAGUGAAGGCAAUCACACAUGAUUACA